rnacentral:tRNA from 1 species
GGGGAUAUAGCUCAGUUGGUAGAGUGCUUUCCUCAUAUGCAUAAGGUCCUGGGUUCAAUCCCCAGCACCACCA